CCCGUGCUACAACCGCUCAGAACAGGUUUUCAAGAUUUGCGGGAGCAAACGCCUGGGUUGGCGAGUCUUAGACUAAGA
rfam:Bacillus sp. FJAT-18017 genome.